rnacentral:rRNA from 1 species
UACGUAGGAUGCAAGCGUUGUCCGGAAUUAUUGGGCGUAAAGAGCGCGCAGGCGGUAACUCAAGUCAGAUGUGAAAUAUCCGGGCUUAACCCGGAGGGGUCAUUUGAAACUGAGUAACUAGAGUACAGCAGAGGAUAGCGGAAUUCCCGGUGUAGUGGUGAAAUGCGUAGAUAUGCGGAGGAACACCGAUGGCGAAGGCAAUCCCCUGGACCUGGUACUGACGCUCCAUGGCACGAAAGCGUGGGGAGCAAACAGG